UGGGGAAUAUUGGGCAAUGGGCGCAAGCCUGACCCAGCAAUGCCGCGUGAAGGAAGAAGGCUUUCGGGUUGUAAACUUCUUUUAAGAGGGAAGAGAAGAAGACGGUACCUCUUGAAUAAGCCACGGCUAACUACGUGCCAGCAGCCGCGGUAAUACGUAGGUGGCAAGCGUUGUCCGGAUUUACUGGGUGUAAAGGGCGUGCAGCCGGGCUGACAAGUCAGAUGAGAAAUGCACAGGCUUAACCUGUGAACUGCAUUUGAAACUGUCAGUCUUGAGUACCGGAGAGGUCAUCGGAAUUCCUUGUGUAGCGGUGAAAUGCGUAGAUAUAAGGAAGAACACCAGUGGCGAAGGCGGAUGACUGGACGGCAACUGACGGUGAGGCGCGAAAGCGUGGGGAGCAAACAGG
rnacentral:rRNA from 1 species